UUCGUUUGCUAACGCUUGCUCUUCUAAAUCCUUUCGGAGUUUGACAAUGUCUUGUUCUCGUUUUUUGUUUAGAUCCAUCUGCAAAUGGACCAGAAAAAUGAUGAGCAAUUCAUGAAGAUAAAUUGCAUCCGCCGCAUGCUAGAAUARCUAMAAUAUGCAGAAGCAGGAAUCGUUUGGUUGACCUAGGAAUCWUGUAUUCGGACUUGUAAACACUCGAAGGAAUCAGCAUGCGUUCGACUCCCAUAGAGACUACUUGGUUGGAUACUAAACCAAGGAACCGCCCUUGACAUUCCUACGAUAUAUAUACGAGCCUCAUCUAGUCUUUCACAAGAAAACGAUGCUAUUUCUUACUAUUCUGGAGAUCGAAUGAUGGUCAACUUCAGUAUCGCUAUCCCACAUCUUGAAAAUGCCUAAGUUGGACGAGCAGCUUUGCUAUGGUUCAUUGACAACAGAAWUAAUACCGUGAACACAGCAAAGGAUGCUGGUYCUUUACAACACCCAAAAUGCAUUGCGCUGUGAUGCAACAAGGAGUGUCUGUGGUAUUGCAUUGCUUGCAUAACGUUCGUCAGCUGUCUUUACCUGAGCUGCAGUUGCACCGCCAGCUUCGUCAAGUCUGUCAUUCAAGUCAUCUAGUUCUUGUUCGAGUUCGUUUCGUGCUCGUUCGGCCUAUGAAGACAAAAGAGCUAUAAUGUAACACAUCUGUAACAGUUGAUUUCAUUGAUCUUAACAGAAAUUGUCCUUUAUAAAAUACAUCAGCAACUGCUUUUGUAUUUAUGACGAAAUAUGGAGUUGUAGCAUAUUAGCUAGUAAAAGUAAAAUUAAUCGUUCAA